GAGAAUGGUCCGACGACAAUGAAAACUGCUAAUCUUCACCCCCUUGGUUAAACUCCAAGGCUCUCUCG
rnacentral:tRNA from 1 species